rnacentral:rRNA from 1 species
UGCUCAGCCGUAAACCAAGAUGGUUUAAAUAUACCCCCAUCUGCCAGAGAACUACAAGUGAAAAACUUAAAACUCCAAGGACUUGACGGUGCCCCACACCAACCUAGAGGAGCCUGUCCAAUAAUCGAUACCCCACGCUAUACCUUACCCCCCCUCGCCCCACAGCCUAUAUACCGCCGUCGCCAGCCUACCUACUGAUAGCAUAACAGUCGGCACAACCGCACCCCGCACAAGCACGUCAGGUCAAGGUGUAGCCCAUGGGGGGGGCUGAGAUGGGCUACAUUUGCUGCCAACAGCAAACCAACCAAAGCUACAUGAAACUGUUUAGCCAACAGGCGGAUUUAGUAGUAAACAGGGCAAGCUCUGCCCUCUUGAACUUUGCUC